rnacentral:tRNA from 3 species
GGCGGUGUAGCUCAGUUUGGUAGAGCAGGCGGCUCAUAUCCGCCGAGUCGGGGGUUCAAGUCCCUCCACCGCCA